UACGUAGGGGGCUAGCGUUGUCCGGAAUCAUUGGGCGUGAAGCGCGUGUAGGCGGUUCGGUAAGUCCGCUGUGAAAGUCGGGGGCUCAACCCUCGAAUGCCGGUGGAUACUGUCGGACUAGAGUACGGAAGAGGCGAGUGGAAUUCCUGGUGUAGCGGUGAAAUGCGCAGAUAUCAGGAGGAACACCAAUUGCGAAGGCAGCUCGCUGGGACGUUACUGACGCUGAGACGCGAAAGCGUGGGGAGCAAACAGG
rnacentral:rRNA from 1 species